rfam:Oryza meridionalis cultivar OR44 (W2112) chromosome 2, whole genome shotgun sequence.
AAAGACUUAAUUCUUGGGUUUACGUGUCCAACGUUUGACCGUCCGUCUUAUAUAAACUUUUUUAUGAUUAGUAUUUUCAUUAUUGUUAGAUGAUAAAACAUGAAUAAUACUUUAUGCAUGACUAUCUUUUUAAAUUUUUUUAAAUAGGACGAACGGUCAAACGUUAGACACGGAAAUCCAGGAAUUGAGUUUUU